GGAUUUAUUGCGGAAUGCAGAGUUGGCUGCUGAAGCUGAGAAUGGUUGGGAUAGUGACAUGUCUGCUAUUUUGCUUCUGCUGCAUCUGCUACCACCAUCUGCACAAGGACGAAGGAUGCCGGGUAAGAUGUCUGCAUCUCAAGCAGUGGAUCACCUCAUCAGGUUUCUAAAGGUUGGAACCAGUGUACAGCAGCAUCUUGACAAAAUC